UUGUGUCUUUGCAGGGAAAGAAUGGAAGAGUUAGGUUUGCCAGAGCGCUUGUUUCUGACCGGAUAUGAACCUACGGGGUGAAAAAGAAUUAACAACUAUUUCAAUUUGCGAUGGAUUGAGGUCGUAAAAGCAGCACUUUCAGAUUCUCAACAGAAGAUGUUGGCGGAAUCUCAGUUUAGACAACUCAUGCUAAUGGGGUCGCAUAUUUCAGUUAUGUUUGCACACUAGAUGUUGUCCCGUCAGUUGGUUACCCGGAAGCUGUAUGAGCUGUGGUGGUUGUUCUGCUUAUACAUAUAUCGUCGAUCCAUUUCAUUACCUAGAAACCUCAGAAUGGAAUUGGAGGUGUCUCCACUUUCUACCUGUUAUCACAAUUUCCCUGUCUAUACUAUAUAGCAUAUAGUCUGGUAAACUUGUUAUCCAAAAACAUUAAAUGCUUUACAUACUCUAUAUCCCGCAACAAUACACUGACCCAAUCCCUUGUGAUAGUUAGACUUCACUUCUUAUCAGUUGUUCUAUUUUUCCAUAUAUCCUUCUUCUAUGUUAUCACCUAUAAACCUCAGCCGGGGAAAUACAGGUGUGUUCCCUUGUAUGCAUGUUCCCAAAAUGUUCCAGACUAUUCUGCACAUCGUAUGGUCUAGUCAUAUUGUAAACUACAAUUGGGUCGGUAAAACAACGUAUUUUGUGUCCGCAUAAUUUCUCAAAUACCUCACCCUCUUCCAAGGAACAGGCUUUACCAUGUUAUAUGUAUAAGCAGAACCUAAGCAGUUUGUUGCGAAAUCGGGAGCACUAGUCGCGUAUUUAAAAUACAGUAUCGUUAGUUGCCGACUUGCAACUCAUUGGUGAUGUUUUGAAUAAUUAAGUGCGUGGUUAGGAUAUAAAAGUGACAGACUAUUCUAUUAUAGGUUUGGUACAACUCAUUUACGCACAUGCUCUUUUUUCUUUCCUCUCCGUGGACACGCACACGCACUUGAAAGGUCAAUUCCCUCACUUUUGGCCCAAACCUGUCCCUUCCUUGGACUGUUACUGUAGCAUGGGUAUAUUAUCUAAUUGUUUUCCAAUUAUGAAUAUACACCAAAUUCUCCCAAUAAAAAAAUAAUAGUGGAGGGUCUUAAAUAAAUACAUAAGUUCAAAUUUGAAAAGGACUAGUGCCAACCUAGCAUUAAUUCUCUUGGUAACCAUAGUAAUAAAGAACCACAGCUUAUAAGCGGUGUUCUGGUGGCCGGUGACUUUAUAGUCGCCGGUCACUGAUCUUUCUUUUUUUUUCUGUUUUUUGUUGUAUUAUAAUCUUCGAUCUCUAAGAUCGAUCUUAUCUUCCGGUUGCGGAUAGUUCUUUUCGUGAUAGGCGAUAUGUUGUGUUAAAGUAUUUUGGUGUGUUAAAAUCCGUUUCUUGGCUUUUUUUAUUUUAUUCUUAUCGUGUUUAAUUUUGAGGGGUUCUUAAUCUAUUCGUUAGAUAAGCUUGGCUUCUUACUCAGAUGAGGUAUCAAUCUUCGUUAAAAGAAUAUUAUCGCGUAGUAUCCAAUCGAGUAUGAAAUCAAGAUGAUUGAUCAAGCGAUGGAGAAUCGAUGCAGUUUCAGAUAAGCCGGAGUUCUCUGUUAUGAAGAGCCUUAAAACAUCAACAGCGAUCUCAGAAAGGAAGAGCGGUCAAGCAAUUUCAACCUAAUCGAAGAAAGGUGUUUGGGUCAUCGAUCUGGCUGUUUCUCCGGUGAUACCUCUGACGUCCUCUUUCGAUUCCAGAUUCGUCUUUUCCACAUGAUGGGACACGUGGUGAUCAUGCAAUCCAAACCUUAUAUUUUUAACACGUGUUUUCUUGUUGUAAAUUUUAUUUUCAGAAUGUGGACAAGAUUUGGGCUGAAUAUGUAUAUGAGACUGGGCUGAGUUGUUUGUAUAUUUGGGUUUGAAGCCCUUUAAUAAAAUGCCGACAAAAAAAAAAA